rnacentral:misc_RNA from 1 species
UACGGGAGGCAGCAGUGGGGAGUGGACAAUGGGGAAACCUGAUCCAGCCAUCACGUGUGCGAUGAAGGCCUUCGGGUUGUAAAGCACUUUUGGCAGGAAAGAAACGGCGCAGGACAAUACCGUGCAACUGACGUACCUGCAGGGCCAAGCACCGGCUAACUACGUGCCAGCAGCCGCGGUACAUACGUAAGGGUGCAAGCGUUAAUCGGAAUUACUGGGCGUAAAGCGUGCGCAGGCGGUUCGGAAAGAAAGAUGUGAAAUCCCAGAGCUUAACUGGAACUGCAUUUUUAACUACCGAGCUGGAGAGUGUCCAGAGGGAGGUGGAAUUCCGCGAUGUGGUGAAAUGCGUAGAUAUGCGGAGGAACUACCGAUGUGAAGGCGACCUCCUGGGAUAACGCGACGCUCAUGCGGCAGUGGGGAGCAAACGGGAUUAUAGAUACCCGGGUAGU